CGAAAACCUAUCCUUGUGUUUCAUUCAUGGACUAUUUAUGAUGUUUAAACAAAUAAAUAAAGUUUAUGUUUCAUUCAUGGACUAUUUAGGAUGUUUAAACAAAGCUCGUUACCUUUCCGAUACAAACCAGUCAGAUAAACACUUAACUCAUAUAAAAAAAGUUGUCUUUUGGUGAGGUUAUCAUGUCUUCUCUAGGGUGAAAAAUUUAUCCUCUUG
rnacentral:misc_RNA from 1 species